rnacentral:rRNA from 1 species
AAACCAACAGGGAUUGCCCUAGUAACGGCGAGUGAAGCGGCAAAAGCUCAAAUUUGAAAUCUGGCCCUAGCGGUCCGAGUUGUAAUUUGCAGAGGAUGCUUUUGGUGCGGUGCCUUCCGAGUUCCCUGGAACGGGACGCCAUAGAGGGUGAGAGCCCCGUACGGUUGGACACCUAGCCUCUAUAUAGCUCCUUCGACGAGUCGAGUAGUUUGGGAAUGCUGCUCUAAAUGGGAGGUAAAUUUCUUCUAAAGCUAAAUACCGGCCAGAGACCGAUAGCGCACAAGUAGAGUGAUCGAAAGAUGAAAAGCACUUUGAAAAGAGGGUUAAAUAGCACGUGAAAUUGUUGAAAGGGAAGCGUUUGCGACCAGACCUUCUCCAGGGGGAUCAACCGCUGUUCUCAGCGGUGCACUCCCCCUGGUUUAGGCCAGCAUCGGUUCUCUUAGGGGGAUAAAGGCCUGGGGAACGUAGCUCUUUAGGGAGUGUUAUAGCCCCUAGCGUAAUACCCUUCAGGGGACCGAGGACCGCGCUUCGGCAAGGAUGCUGGCGUAAUGGUCGUCAACGACCCGUCUUGA